UAACACGUAGGAGGCAAACGUUAUCCGGAAUUACUGGGCGUAAAGCGCACGUAGGCGGCAUCGUAAGUCCGACGUGAAAGCUCCUGGCUUAACUGGGAGAGGCCGUUGGAUACUGCGAAGCUCGAGGUUGGGAGAGGAGAGUGGAAUUCCCGGUGUAGUGGUGGAAUGCGUAGAUAUCGGGAGGAACUCCAGUGGCGAAAGCGACUCUCUGGCCUACACCUGACGCUAAAGUGCGAAAGCGUGGGGAGCGAACAGG
rnacentral:rRNA from 1 species